rnacentral:rRNA from 1 species
UCGAACGGGGUAGCAAUACCUAGUGGCGGACGGGUGAGUAACGCGUGAGAAUCCACCUUUAGGAUGGGGACAACAAGAGGAAACUCUUGCUAAUACCCAAUGAGCCGAAAGGUAAAAGUAAUUCGCCUAAAGAGGAGCUCGCGUCCGAUUAGUUAGUUGGUGGGGUAAAGGCCUACCAAGGCAGCGAUCGGUAGCUGGUCUGAGAGGAUGAGCAGCCACACUGGGACUGAGACACGGCCCAGACUCCUACGGGAGGCAGCAGUGGGGAAUUUUCCGCAAUGGGCGAAAGCCUGACGGAGCAAUACCGCGUGAGGGAGGAAGGCUCUUGGGUUGUAAACCUCUUUUCUUAGGGAAGAAACCUGACGGUACCUAAGGAAUCAGCAUCGGCUAACUCCGUGCCAGCAGCCGCGGUAAUACGGAGGAUGCAAGCGUUAUCCGGAAUUAUUGGGCGUAAAGCGUCCGUAGGUGGCAUUUCAAGUCUGCCGUUAAAGCCCGAAGCUUAACUUUGGAAAAGC